rnacentral:tRNA from 1 species
UUUUUGGUAGCUUAAAAUUAAAGCAAUUAACUUUUAAUUAAUAGAUUGGAACACAAUUUUUAUAGUGUCUUCCCCUUUAUA